CUUGGUGACUAUAGCAUCAUGGACCCACCUGAUUCCAUUCCGAACUCAGAAGUGAAACAUGGUAGCGCUGAUGGUAGUGUAGGGAUUCCCUAUGUGAGAGUAAGACAUUACCAGGA
rnacentral:rRNA from 3 species